ACCCGCUGAACUUAAGCAUAUCAAUAAGCGGAGGAAAAGAAACCAACAGGGAUUGCCCUAGUAACGGCGAGUGAAGCGGCAAGAGCUCAAAUUUGAAAUCUGGCCCCCUUGGGGGUCCGAGUUGUAAUUUGCAGAGGGUGCUUUGGCGUUGGCUGUGGUCUAAGUUCCUUGGAACAGGGCGUCGCAGAGGGUGAGAAUCCCGUAUGUGGCCGCCAGCCUCCGCCGUGUAAAGCCCCUUCGACGAGUCGAGUUGUUUGGGAAUGCAGCUCUAAAUGGGAGGUAAAUUUCUUCUAAAGCUAAAUACUGGCCAGAGACCGAUAGCGCACAAGUAGAGUGAUCGAAAGAUGAAAAGCACUUUGGAAAGAGAGUCAAAAAGCACGUGAAAUUGUUGAAAGGGAAGCGCUUGCAGCCAGACUUGCCUGUAGUUGCUCAUCCGGGCUCUUGCCCGGUGCACUCUUCUGCGGGCAGGCCAGCAUCAGUCCGGGCGGUUGGAUAAAUGCCUGCUAAAUGUACCUCUCCUCGGGGAGGACUUAUAGGGCAGGCGGCAUACAACCAGCCUGGACUGAGGUCCGCGCAUCUGCUAGGAUGCUGGCGUAAUGGCUGU
rnacentral:rRNA from 1 species